ACCAGACCAUCUCCCGGCGCGGGUGGAAUUCCCGCGAUCUGUCUCAUUCCCUGCGCCGCCGAGAAAAGUGAGAUCCCGCGAGACUCCCAGGGGUCUCAUUCUGUCACCCAGGUUGGAGUGCAGUGGCAACAUCAUAGCUCACUGCAGCCUUGAACCCCUGGGCUCAAGUGAUCCUCCUGCUUCAGCCUCCUGAGUAGCUGGGGCUACAGGCACUUUCCCUACAUUUUCAAAGGCCUGCAUCAUCACAUCUGCCACAGCAUUCUCUAUCAUUGAGGCAUUUUCUCAGGAAAUCACCUGUGAAAUAUUUUGCAGCUAACCACCUACCUGUGCCCCACCAGCCAACAUGCUUUACUCCUGCCAGGCAGCUGUGUCACUCUGGAAGCUUUGAUCAGAAAAUUGUAGUUGCUGUUGCCUCUGAUGUGCAAGUCCAAGAUUCUUGGGCCGCAGGACAUGUUCUGCAUAUAUUCCUGGAGAAUAGACCAACAAUGAGACUGAAUCAGUAACGAAAAGUCUUCUAUGAAAGAAAAACCCAGAACCAUAUUGCUUUACUGCUUAAUUCUAAUAAACUCAUAAAGAACAACAAACACCAAUUCUUCUCAAACUAUUCCAAAAAAUUGAAGCAGGGCAGGGAGGAAUUCUUCCUAACUCAUUCUAAAAGGCCAGCAUUAUCCUGAUACCAAAACCAGACAAGGACACAGCAAAAACAGAGAACUACAGGCCAAUAUCCCUGAUGAUGCUAAAUGGAAAAAUCCUCAACAAAAUACUAGCAAAACCAAUGCAACAACACAGAAAAGAUAAUACACCAUGAUCAAAUGAGAUUUAUCCCAAGUAUGCAAUCAUGAUUCAACAUACACAAAUCAAUACUUGUGAUACAUCACAUCAACAGAGUGAAGGACCAAAAGACAUAUGAUCAUCUCAACAGAUACAGAAAAAGAUUUGAUAUGAUUCAAAAUCCCAUUAUGAUAAAAACUUUUUUUUUUUGAGACAGGGUCUCACUCUGUCACCCAGGCUGGAGUGCAGUGGCAUGAUCAUGGCUCACUGCAGCCUCGACCUCCCAGGCUUACACGAUCCUCCCACCUCAACUUUCCAAAUAGCUAGACUACAGGUGCCUGCCUGUAGUCAAGCCAUAGGUGCCAUUGCCUGGCUAAUUUUUAUAUUUUUUGUAGAGAUGGGAUUUCGCCAUGUUGUCCAGGCUGGUCUCAAAUUCUUGAGCUCAAGCAAUCUGCCCAUCUUGCCCUCCCAAAGUGAUGAGAUUAAAGGCAUAAGCCACCGCACCCAGCCUAUGAUAAAAACUUAAAUCAGGUGUACAGGAAACAUAUCUCAACAUAAUAUAGACAAUAUGUUCCAAACCCACAGCAAACAUCUUAGUGAAUGGGGAAAAGAUAAAAGUCUUUCCUCUAAGAACUGGAAGAAGAUUCGAAUGUCUACUUUCACCACUCUUAUUACCAUAGUUCAGGGAGUCCUAGUCAGAACUAUGGUAAGAGAAAAAAAUAAGGCAAGAAAA